UGUAAAGAAAGAGCUUGGGCGGAGUAUCACUUAAAGCUGAUUCUUCCAGUAAAACAGUAAAACAAAUCUAUUAAACCUGUGUACCUGCUUGUUCAAUCAUGUUGCAAAGGUCCGUUAAAUUUGUUGCCACAUAGUAAACUGUCACUAUGUAACAGGCACUGCGGAACAUUUACUCUAAAGUAACAUGCAAAGAGACAGCGAGCAAAAACAAACCAACAAGCCAUCUGCAAACCAGGGGGGGAAACUGUGAGGCAAUUACACCAGAGGAAAAGACUGGAGAUGAGAUAUGAGGAACAGGGGAACAGAGAUGACUUGAGUCUUUGCCUGCUUUGACAGGCGGAGAGGAAGACAGUGGGACACAGGAAAGAAAGAAAGAGGGAGAGAAGGAGACAGGGCGUGGAGGAGACAGCAGAGAAAGCGAAGUGGUGCCUGUGUGGCGUGAGAAAGCCCUGUGUUCUCUGUCUGUUGAUAGGCCGGUGGAGCUGAGGAGGGCUCAGGGCCACAGACCAGAGGGAUUUACAGGGCUUUGCUCCUUCCUCUGUGGAAGCAGUGUGUCAACCACUACCACUACAGACCCUCCUGCCCCUGCAUGGUGCCCCCUGCUUUUCCUGUAGGAUCAUCCCUUCUCCCCAUCGCUCCACGUCUCCAUCCCAUCCCACCACCUCAGCAGUCGUCUUGGAGAGGCCGCUGAGGCAUGACAGUCAGACGGGCAUGGACAAAGGAGCAGGCUGGCGAGCGUUCAGAGGGGGCUCGAGGGUGAGAGAUGGACAGAUAACCUUGCUGUGUGGCCCGCGGCCACCUCAGGCAGCUGCACACGGAGAUGAUAACUCAAUCUUCCCAUCAGACCUCCCUACCAGCUCGGGCCCCAGGCCAUGGCAUCCACUGGCACGGCCCAGAGCGUGUGGGCCAAAGGACAUGGUAUGUGUUGGGAGCUACUUUCACCAUACUGUCGUGCCACGCUACUCUUACAUCAGACAAACUCUUUGAAGGAGUUCCCAGUGUGUUAGAACAAAUUGUCCUGUUGAAAGCAAAGACAUGAAAUCUACUGGAAGCUUAACAUGAAAGUGCGUGUCUGAAUGUGAGGGUCCACAUUUGGCUAUUGUUACAUUAAAUGCUUUCAGCCUCUUCAGCCAAGGGUCCCCUGGUUUCAUUAUGAAACUACAUUCCAAGGUAUAUCCCCUCAAAAUUACUUUCAAGCAUCGAAAAGGUAAAACAAAUGAAUUUGUGUACUACUUCUACUAGCCUAUGGAGACGACUUUAAUGACAGCUUGACAGUACGAGCGCAGGGAGUGGCUUAUCAUUAGCAAGUGUUAACUACUUUGAGUUAUCAGCUCAUGUUCUCACCCUGAAUGAAAGUGGAUAGCACAGUGUGGGAAAUGAAAGGCAGUGUAUUUGCAUGAUUAAGAUGCAUUUCACCCCCUGCCUGGAAGUCCUCCUGUGGAUAUUUUCAUGCUAAAUCCGGGGCUAAAAAGUCUAACAGAGAAUUAGGCGCAGACAAUUGUUGCAUAAGGUUUUUUGAUGAUGAAAGGGAUUCCUUCAUGGCAAGCACUUCUCAUGAUGGAGAAAGUGCUUACAUGCUAGGGCUUACUCAAACAUCUGUUCCCAUUCGCUGGCUCAACCACAGUGAAUGCGGUCCACGCAAGAAUCAUAAUUGCAUACAGACCUGGGACGCAGACAGGGAGACAGUGUUUUGUACAGCAACUGUUACAACAGAGCUGUGAAAAUGAAGUUGUGACAUAGCACUUUUAAUUCUAGCAUUGUGGGAAAAAAAUGUCACAAGAAUGGUUAGAAAAUUAAAGGGAUAGUUUGGAUUUUUUGAAGUGGGGUUGUAUGAGGUACUUCUCCAUAGUCAGAGUAUUACCUACAGUAGAUGGCGGUCGGCACGCCCCAGUUUGGAGAAUAAGAAAGGAGUGCCGGCACGAGAGCAAAGCAAUGAACUGCUUUGGACAGGGCCAGCAG